rnacentral:ncRNA from 1 species
UUAAAGUUUGAUUCUUUCUUUUGAAUUUGGAAUUUGAAUUAUUUUAUAUGUAAGUUUUUACUUUUUUAUCUAAAUGGUUUUUUUUCAGUAUAUAGUUUUGGUUUUUAUUUUAUGAUAAAAUCAGGAUUUUAAUUUAUAACUGACAAAUUCUGUGCCAGCCGUCGCGGUUACACAGUUAGUUAAAUUAAAUUUUUUCGUUUUAGUAUUAAUUUUUUUUUAUUUAAUUUUAAUUUUAAUUUUUGGGUGAAAUUUUAAUUAAUUAUUUGUUUAUUGGUCAAUGAUUAUACGAAAAUUAUUAAUAAACUAGGAUUAGAUACCCUAUUAUAAUAAUUGUAAAUCUUUUUUAAUAUUAAUAGUUUUGUUCUUUAAAUUAAAAGAAUUUGGCGGUUAUUUAAUCUUUCUAGAGGAACCUGUUCUGUAAUUGAUAAUCCACGAUUGAUUUUACUUCAAUUUUGCUUAUAUAUCGCUGUCAUUGAAUGUUUUAUAAGAUUAUUUUCUUUUAUUUUUAUGAAUAAAAUGUUAGGUCAAGAUGUAGCUGUAUUGAAGAAGAGAUGGGUUACAUUUAAUUUAUUAUUGGAUAAGAAUUUGUAAUUUUUCUUUGAAAUUGGAUUUAGGUGUAAUUUUUAUUAAAUAUUAAUUUUGAUUUUAGUUCUAAAUAAUGUACACAUCGCCCGUCACUCCCAUUUUAAGUUGGGAUAAGUCGUAACAAAGUAGGCCUACCGGAAGGUGGGCCUGGUCAGUU